UACGUAGGGGGCUAGCGUUGUCCGGAAUCAUUGGGCGUAAAGCGCGUGUAGGCGGCCCGGUAAGUCCGCUGUGAAAGUCGGGGGCUCAACCCUCGAAUGCCGGUGGAUACUGUCGGGCUAGAGUACGGAAGAGGCGAGUGGAAUUCCGAGUGUAGAGGUGAAAUUCGUAGAUAUUCGGAAGAACACCAGUGGCGAAGGCGGCUCACUGGUCCGGUACUGACGCUGAGGUGCGAAAGCGUGGGGAGCAAACAGG
rnacentral:rRNA from 1 species